AGAUGACACUCUCCUGUUCUUCUCCCCAAAGAGAAUGGCUUCUUUAUUAAACUGACCAAGCUCGAAUUAGCUUCUGGGUAGAUCUUUAGACUACUUCACUUCGCUCAGGAAUAAAAAGGAUGUGGAAAACUGUUUCGCAGCACCACCUCGUGGUAUUGACUUAUUAUUGGUGUAGCCCUUGGAAGCAUCCCAGCUGUGUUGUACAGCGUUCAGCAAUGGGCACAGCCUUGGGCCACACGUUGGGAGCAAGGCACUGCUUCUUCUUGUCGUGCCGAAGAUGACUCUGCCAGACCGCAAACCAAGGAGCACAGCACGAGAGCCUUGGUCUUGUCAUCAUGGUACAGAUGUGCUUACUGGAUGAAGCACAUACCAAUGUAUGCUCAGGAAGGACCUGUCUCAACUAUGCUUUACAAAACUGCAACAGAUAUGGUCCUAAUUUCUUCUUUCAGUUCUUGGUCCAAGUAGGUAAGUCUCUGUGUAAUUACUUUCCUUCUCCUUUGUUCUUCAUUUGAACAAAACUACCCACACCUAACCCAUUCCUGAUUAUGAACAAUCUCAUGCUUUUUCUUAUUUUUCUUCACAGAAAUAAGAAAAAUUACAUCACUUACAAGAAUGGCACUGUUGAUAAACAGGUAGAUACUUGGAUGUUUCAGAGAUGCAAAUUAUUCUUCUUUGGGUGGAAAAAAAGAAUUGUCCAGUUAAUAUGGCUUGAGAAACUGAUGAGAAGCUUUCAAGUUUGUGGAAACACAGUUUGGGGCUUUGCUUUUCCUGGAGAUUUUACAUCCUUCAAUUUUCAAAAAGCUGUAGGCAUUAGAGGAAAAAGAUCACAUAUGCGUCAUUCUCUCCACAAGUUCUAGUCGUCAGUGCCAACAGAUAUACUUUAUAGAUGUCUGGCUUUGGUUUCAGCAUCAUAACCAGAUGGCAGUGAAUCAUGCUUUAUAAUUUAUUUAAAAGGUUAGAAAUAAAUACUUUUGUCUGGCUCCUUCCCUCUUGCUU
rnacentral:lncRNA from 1 species